rnacentral:rRNA from 1 species
CUGCUCAAUGAUAAAUUUAAAUAGCUGCAGUAUCUAUAACUGUACAAAGGUAGCAUAAUAAAUUGUUUCUUAAUUAGAAACUAGAAUGAAAGAUUUAAUGAAAUAUAAACUUUAUAUAUAUAAUUAAUUAAAAUUUUUAUUUAAAUAAAAAAAUUUAAAUAAAAUAAAAAGACGACAAGACCCUAUAAAAUUUUAUUAAAAUUUAUUAAAUUUAUUUUAUAUUUAUAUUUUAAAUAAAUUAUUUAUAAAAUUCUAAUUUAAUUGGGGUAAUUAAAAAAUUUAACAAACUUUUUUAUAUAAAAACAAUAAUCUAUGAUUUAAUUAUCUUUAAAUUAAAAAUUAUAAAAUUAAUUACUUUAGGGAUAACAGCAUAAUUUUUUUUAAAAGAUCCUAUUUAUAAAAAAGAUUAUGACCUCGAUGUUGAAUUAAGAUAAAAACUAAAUGAAUAAAUUUAAAAAUUUAAGUCUGUUCGACU